rnacentral:sRNA from 1 species
UGCCUAAACCUGCCGUUCGGCGGGCAUGGCGCAAAGUCCGAUCAGAGCUAAUAAACCCAUCAUGUGGGAAUGCUCUGAUCGCCCGUAUCGGGAAACCGAUAUGGAGGGCUAAAAACCCUC